UCGUAUCUAAUAGAUAAGUGUGUUUGCCUGAUUGAACCAGGUGAUAAAGUUUGCAGAUAAUCAAAGUGGAGGUCAUUUCUGUAAUUUUUUUCCUCUAGGUUUUUUAAGAAGAACUUAAGAGUGGUCAAGUCAUAUAAUCUCAAACCAGGAGGGGACAAGAUCCCUGUAACCAACCUAAAUAGAAAAGAGUACGUCCAGCUCUACAUUGAUUUCCUGCUGAAUAAAUCCAUCUACAGGCAGUUUGCUGCUUUCUAUCAUGGUUUUCAUAGCGUUUGUGCCUCAGAUGCCCAGAUGUGCAUUUUGGGACGUGGUGCUGGCAUUUCCUUUUGAGUUGCAGAAGAAACUGCUCCUUUUUACCACAGGAAGUGACCGUGUUCCUGUGGGCGGAAUGGCCAACCUCAACUUCAAGAUCUCCAAGAUUGAUGUCUCCACUGACUGGUAGUCGGCACAUUGGCAGGUUGCUGUGAAAUGACUGCAUGCAAGUUUUAUUCUCUACAGUUUAUUUAUUCAUUUUCUUUGCAGGCUCCAAGUGUCACAUACACGCUUCAACCAGAUCUGUCUACCUCCAUACAAGAGCAAGAAAAAACUACGGCAAAAGUUAACUAUAGCCAUUUCAAAUGCAGAGGGCUUUGGAUUGGAGUAAAUUACAGUUGUAGAUCAUUUAUUCUUUGUUCAUUGAAAGAAUAUGGGCUGUGAUAGUUUUUUUUCUUUCUUACAACCAACAGGGUUGUGGAAUUAAAAUCAAUUAAAUAUUCAACUAAAUUACAUAUGCACUACACUGUAAAAAAUAAUCCGUAAAAUAUAUGGUAAAAAAUGGCAGCUGUGGUUGCUAGAACUAUACUGUAAAAAAUACGGUAACAACGUUUUAGAUUUAACAGUUUUAUACUUUAAAAAAAAAAAAAAAAAAAACUGUAACAUUAUUUUAGGUUUAACUGUUUUACCUUAAAUUUACAGUUUAAUACCGUCAUUUGACUGAUAUAAUAUUAAUAUACCAACUAAGUGAAGUACUGAAAUCUGUUUUGUUCCUUUGUAAUACACUGGUAACCACCAAAAGCAGGUGGUGAUGAGAAAGCCACAUGAUGAAACAAAGCCCAUCACAAGCAGCUUUUAAAUAAUAAGAUACAUAGAAGGUGCACUAAACACCAUCAUGGUGAGACUCAUUAAACUGAAAUAUGCAAUAAACAUUCAUUUAACAAAAUUAUAUGCAUCAUACAACCCUAAAAAACAUAACAGAUAAUAAAAAAAUAAGAAGAAUAGUUAUUUCAAAGAAAAAACAUCAAAUUCAAACAAAAUUUGAAAUGCGAUGCAGAGAAUUCUGGGAACAUCAGUUUACGGGUUUUCCUUGUAAAUUUUAAAGGACAUUACCAUUAACCAAUAACAGGUUUGUACUGUAGCAUUUUCAAAAAUUUUAACCGUUAAAAUCACAGUCAUUUUUUACAGUGUACUGUUAAAAUAUUUAGGAAAUAAAUGAUAACUUUUAUUCUGCAAAAAAGUGUUGAUCAAAACUGAUAUUAAAUAAGUUCAUAGUAAUGCAGUAAAGACAUAUUACAAAAUAUUUUAAACAAAUGCUUAACUUUCUUUUCAUCAAGAAUCCUGAAAGAAAUGUAUCAUAGUUUCUACUGUACAUAAAUAUUCACUACUUUUAACCAGUUGUAAUGAUUUAAGCCCAGUUCAUUAAAGGCUUUUUAUCUUACCACGUGAGUGCCUUGGAUGUAUUUAGUCUACAUAACAUUUUAUAUUGUAAUAAUAUAUAUAUAUAUAUAUAAAAAAGUUAGUUACCUUGUUGUCAUUGAUGAAAGAGCAUUUUAUUUCCCAUAAUGCAUUGCCUGUCUUAAAUUUCUGCAGUAAAUUCCACUUCUUGUCAUGACAAUUCAAAUUCACCUUCCUGUGAUUGUGCUUUAAGAGCCACACAGAUGGGAAAUCAAAAAUUACCUGUAUUACAGUGUAUGAUGUAGCUGUCCAUCUGUGUAAACAAUGUGCAAAUAAUUAAACCAAAAAGUACACGAUUUAUAAAGUUAUUGGCUUCUAAAGUAAGGAGUCGACUCUGAAUCGCUGAAACGAGUCGUUAUAGAUUUCAAAUCUUUUGCCCAUCUCUAUGUACAUCACUAGGAACACUUUGCAUAAUAAUCUCCGCCUACAGUGUUGGGAGAAACGGAACUCUGACCUGCCCCACCCCCCACACAGACACUCUGGUUGGUGUGAUAGCAUCAUGUCGAGGAGACGGUGUGUUUUUAAUUGUAAAGGCAAGUUUGUUUUAUUUUCACUGCCAAAGAAUGAAAAUCAGAAGAACCAAUGGCUAAAAUUCAUUUUCACCACAAUACCAGAGCAGUACAACAAAUCCCUUUUGUUGUGUUCACAACAUUUCACUGAUGACUGCUUUUCUAAUCUCGUUGAGUACAGCGGGAUUUUCAAAGCGUUUGGCCAUAAAAGAUGGUUCAUUACCAACUUUAUUUAGAACAACGAGCAUCUCCGAAUCACAAAGCGAAGUAUGAUUAUGAAGUUAUGUGUCUGUUUUCUCCCGAGCGUCUUAUCAGUAUGUGUGCUGUCUGCAGCCUGUCUGCGCUGAUCGUCAUGUACAAACAAGUCAUUAAAAUGAAGUGUAACUCAGUGAAUACUCAACGAAGAGACAUGAGAGAGAUAUCUAUAGAAAGCUUGACAUGUCUACUUUAAAACUAAACAAGUGCUGCCGAAAACAGAUAUUCUGUGAUAAAGUAAUCCAUAUGAAAACAACGCAAUGUCUGUUUUUCAUGUCUCCCUUUGUUAUAUCUAAUGUGACCACGCCCCCGCGCUGAACGCGCUAUUCAGAUUCAAACUGAAGCGCACGGCUUGAAUACACCCACACAGAAGAAAAAGCAGCGAGACUGUUCAAGUUUUUUAUUUUACUGUUUGCUUCAUGGUGAGAGGAAUAAGACAUAAUUCACCCCAAACAUAUGCUAACGCAUAGUUUACCGUGGAGGUGUGUGCGGAACAACCAAUCCAAACUGCUUAUGUUAGUUGACCAAUCAGAACAUAGUAUGCUACCGAAAGGUGGGGUUUAAGGAAACUGAAUCUUUUGAACAGCUUCGCGCGAACCGUUUGGGGAUCUCUGAGAAUUGAGGUAAUUUUAAAAUGAUAUUUUGACAAAAUGACAAUGUUUUUUAACCUUGGAUGGAUUUACACCUAAUGUACAGGACUUAUAAACAGUGAUAUGAAGCUUAGAAUUUUCAUCUUACUGGCUCUUUAAUUAAAUUCACACUCACAUGAAGGAAUUAAAAGAGAGACAAUUCUAAAAUUCUGAGUUGUGCACAAUCCUGACAGCCACAUCAGGUAAGCGGGAGGAUAACGCACAACAGUGAUAAUGUAAGCUCUAGAUGUUUCAGCAAUAUGAUUAGUGAAUAUGAUAGUAUUAUGGAUUGUGUGUACAGAGUAAUAUUAAUUGUUGUAAACCAGGGUUCUAUGAGGAACCCAGUUAAGCUGUUUGUCUAUCAUUUUGUUUAUCAUUGCUGACUGUUUGAGUGAAGGACCAAACAUUUUGUAUGGUAUGAGAAUAUGUGGAUUUAUGUACAAUAUAGUGUAAAUAUGUUCAAGAAGCUCUAUUUUACUGCAAUUUAAAAUUAUUUUUUGUAUUUUUUCUUCAACAUGGGACUGGUAAUGUCCCAUGCUCCUGUUAAAAGUAAUACAAAAAGAUAAAAUAGCCUGGCAAACAGUCUAUCUGUCACGGAGACGAACCCCGUGAUUCCCUCUGCUGGCCAGCGGAGGGCACCCUCACCUGAAUACUGACACACACAUAUCCAUUCAUUCACUUACACUGACGACACCUCAUUUCCCACAAGCCCCGUCCUUGGACUCUGAUCACCUGCACAGGUGAUCGUCAUCAGACUGGGUAUUUAAGCUGGACUUCCACCACAGUUCAAACACAAAGUCUUGAUUUGCUGUGUCUGUCAUUUCUGAGUGUUACUACCCGUGUUUGAUUUCCUGUUACCGAUCUUGCCUGUUGUCUCUAACGUACCUUUGCUGCCUGCCUACCGACUCCCUGCUUGUUAUUGGAUUUUGAUUCUCUGUUCUGCCCACGCUGUUGAUAUUGCUGGUUCCGACCAUUGCCUGUAUGACUACGAGCCUUUACAAUAAAGCCUGCAUUAUGGAUCCCAUGUCGUGUUCUGGAUCAUUACAGAAGACUUCGCCACAACGAGAUCCAGCAACUUUUGAAGGUCUUCAUACCACCAUGGCGGCCCAAGCCAGUCAGAUAGCGGCCAAUCAGUUCCAGCUGAAUCGUCUAACCACGAUCACGGAGGAGCUCGUCAAAGCCGUUCAGAAUCUCCAUACCGCUCCCACGGUCCCACCGACGCCGGAGGUAUCCGCCAUUGCCCACGCGGCAGGGAUGCCAACUCAGGCCAAUCCCCGUCUUGCUUUCCCGGAUAAAUACAACGGUGAUGCCAGCAAGUGUAAGGGAUUUCUAUUGCAAUGCUCUCUGUUCGUGGAACAACAACCCUCACUGUACACUACGGAUACUGGAAAAAUCGCCUUUGUUUGUUCUCUAUUGACUGAGAAAGCACUCGAAUGGAUUACAGCCGUGUGGGGGUCUGAUGGAUCCACAUUUACAUCAUUUCAGGAUUUCCUGCAGCAAUUCCUGGCCGUAUUCGAUCACCCCAAGGAGGGAAAGGGAGCUGGAGAUCGCUUACUGGAGUUGUCACAAGGCAGGAUGUCAGUGGAAGAUUACGCUCUACGAUUUCGAACUCUGGCAGCACAAACUAACUGGGUGAGCGACACAUUAAAGGUACUCUUCCGUAAAGGACUGAAUUAUGAUCUACAAACGGAAAUGGCAUGUAGAGACGAGGGCAGAGAUCUCAACAGCUUCAUCGAGCUGACCAUAUCCAUUGACAAUCUGCAACAUGCCCGGUGAUCCAACUCCCGUCACACUGUGCACCUCAGAGGUGUAACAUUCAACUCCUUCCAUGGUCUACCUCUGUCUCAGUGGAGACAAUAGAUGGUCGACCACUGGGUUCAGGAUCUAUCACUCAACUCACCCGCAAAGUCGUAAUGGCGGCUGGCUUACUGCACAAGGAGAGGAUCCAAUUCUACAUCCUUCCCACAUCUCACACAUCCGUGAUUCUUGGAUUACCCUGGCUAUGUCUGCAUAACCCCCAGAUCUCAUGGAGAGAGGGUCAAGUGGUGAGGUGGAGCAAUUACUGUCAACAGAACUGUCUUUCCCUGGUCAAACCUAUUCCUGUCUGUUCCGUGUCACUUACCUCUGUUCAAGAAUCCAUUCCCGAUUUGCCAGAGGAAUACGCAGAUCUUCUGGAGGCCUUCAGUAAGAAACAAGCCAACACCUUACCUCCUCACCGCAAGUAUGACUGUGCCAUCGAUCUUCUGCCAGGGCAUUCUCCUCCAAAGGGUCGCAUCUUCCCGUUGUCUCAACCUGAGUCUGACGCCAUGAAGGAUUACAUCAUGGAGGAGCUCCAGAAAGGGUUCAUCAGGCCAUCCAUCAUCCGGUCACCCAGGUAUCACUGCCACCAUCAACCAGUUGGAGAACCGCUUCUGGUGGGAAACCCUUCACAAGGACACAACAAAGUACAUCCAGCAAUGCAAUAAUUGUAAUAUCAAUAAGGCAUCCAAACAAUCUCCCGCCAGUCUCCUACAACCAUUACCCAUUCCUCAACGACCCUGGUCACACAUUGCCAUUGACUUUGUUACGGAUCUUCCCAGUUCACAGGGUUACACCACCAUACUCACCAUCAUAGACCGGUUCUCCAAGGCUUGCAGAUUCAUCCCUUUACCCAAACUACCUACCGCUCUUCAGACGGCCGAACACUUAUGCAACUGGGUCUUCAGAUUAUACGGCCUACCCGAGGACAUUGUGUUGGACCGAGGACCUUAAUUCACCUCCCAAUUAUGGUCAGCCUUCUUCAAAGCUCUAAACAUUAAUGUCAGCCUCACCUCUGGGUAUCACCCUCAAGCUAACGGACAGGUAGAAAGGCUCAACCAAGAGCUAAACUGAUUCCUCAGAGCCUGUUGUAACCAGAAUCAGGAUGACUGGGCACGAUAUCUACUAUGGGCCGAAUACACACAGAACUCCCUUAUUAAGCCAUCCACGGGUUUAGCCCCCUUUAAAUGUGUGCUGGGAUUUCAACCACCAAUGUUCCCAUGGUCAGGAGAUCCAACAGAUGUAGCGGCGGUAAACGACUGGAUGGCACGCAGUGAGGAGGUAUGGAAUCAGGCUCAUGUUCACCUGCAACAAGCUGUAAGGAGGCAGAAGGAGCAGGCGCACCACAGAAGGCGCCCAGGCAACAAUUAUCAGCCAGGCCAGUGGGUAUGGCUAUCAACACGGGAUCUCUGUCUCUGACUCCCGUGCCGCAAGUUGAGUCCAAGGUACGUGGGUCCAUUCCAAAUCACUAGACAGAUAACUCCAGUUUCAUUCUGGUUGGCACUGCCUAACACAUACCGUAUCUCUCCUACCUUUCAUGCAUCCCUGCUCAAGCCCGCUGCUGGUCCCAGAGACGAGGGAGAGGGGAGGUCCCGUGCACAGGCCCCUCAACCCAUCAUCAUAGAGGGCGAGGAGGCUUACCAAGUCCAGGAAUUGCUCGAUUCCAGACGUCGGGGUAGAAUCCUACAGUAUCUGGUCGACUGGGAGGGGUACGGUCCAGAAGAACGCUCGUGGGUAAAUUCGGAGGACAUCCUAGAUCCCAAUCUUGUCAAUGACUUUCAUCGUUUACAUCCUGGUAAACUGGCCCCUCGACCCCGUGGUAGACCCCGACGUCUUGUGCCUCCUCACGCCAGGAGUCGCUCACAGGGGGGGGCGGGGGGGCUGGGCUCUGUCACGGUGACUAACCCCGUGAUUACCUCUGUUGGCCAGCGGAGGGCACCCUCACCUAAAUACUGACACACACGCAUCCAUUCAUUCACUUACACUGACGACACUACAUUUCCCACAAGCCCCGUCUUUGGACUCUGAUCACCUGCACAGGUGAUCAUCAUCAGACUGGGUAUUUAAGCUGGACUUCCACCACAGUUCAAACGCAAAGUCUUGAUUUGCUGUGUCUGUCAUUUCUGAGCGUUACUACCCUUGUUUGAUUUCCUGUUACUGAUCUUGCCUGUUGUCUCUAACGUACCUUUGCUGCCUGCCUACCGACCCCCUGCUUGUUAUUGGAUUUUGAUUCUCUGUUCUGCCCACGGUCUUGAUAUUGCUGGUUCCGACCAUUGCCUGUACAACUACGAGCCUUUACAAUAAAGCCUGCAUUAUGGAUCCCAUGUCAUGUUCUGGAUCAUUACACUAUCAAACUUGCCCAGCAUUCUUACCAUACCAUACUUUUUUAAAUUAAAGGUCUGAGCUCAAACAUCAGUUGAGUGUCGUUUAGCAAUUGUUGGCAAUCCUUUCUCAGGAAUAUUGGUAAUGUGACUACAUUUUGUGUGUGUCUCUAUGUCAGCGAUUGUUUCAUGUUUGUUGACUAGCCAUAAAAUGGAAGAACUGUUUGUGCUUAUUUGAAUUUAUAUAUAUAUAUAUAUAUAUAU